rfam:Bacteroides sp. 43_108 Ley3_66761_scaffold_113, whole genome shotgun sequence.
GGAGAGGUGGCGGAAUGGUAGACGCGCUACUUUGAGGGGGUAGUGGGCUCAGCCCGUGGGAGUUCGAGUCUCCUUCUCUUCA